rnacentral:rRNA from 1 species
AAUUUUCCGCAAUGGGCGCAAGCCUGACGGAGCAACGCCGCGUGAGGGAGGAAGGCCUGUGGGUUGUAAACCUCUUUUCUCUGUGAAGAAGCUCUGACGGUAGCAGAGGAAUCAGCAUCGGCUAACUCCGUGCCAGCAGCCGCGGUAAGACGGAGGAUGCAAGCGUUAUCCGGAAUUAUUGGGCGUAAAGCGUCCGUAGGCGGUUAGACAAGUCUGCUGUUAAAGACUACAGCUCAACUGUGGGAUGGCGGUGGAAACUGUAUAACUAGAGUGCGGUAGGGGUAGAGGGAAUUCCCAGUGUAGCGGUGAAAUGCGUAGAUAUUGGGAAGAACACCAGUGGCGAAGGCGCUCUACUGGGCCGCAACUGACGCUGAUGGACGAAAGCUAGGGGAGCGAAUGGGAUUAGAUACCCCAGUAGUCCUAGCUGUAAACGAUGGACACUAGGUGUUGCGCGUAUCAACCCGAGCAGUACCGAAGCAAACGCGUUAAGUGUCCC